CUACCAUAUGCUCUGACAACUAUGACCACAAUGGUCCACCCACAAAUGAAUUGACAACAGCAAACCCAGAGGCACGUAUCAAUGAAAGUUCCUACUAAGCAGCUUCUUAAAGGACUCAGUUUUCCUGAGUUUGAGAGCCUACCAGGUUGACACAAGGGAGGAGAGAAUCCUAUUUGCAACAUGAAGGAGAUGGCAGCCGACAAGGAGCAGAGAAUCCCUGGGCAAAGAAUGGAGCUAAUGGAACAUGGACUUGUCCCUCACACUCCUGAGCUCUGUCAACAUGUGAGGUUGGUGCUAAAACACAAACACAAGUACACCACCUCAUUGGAUGCUGCUCUUCCUCAGGCCCGCAGCUAGUUGCCUGUGUCUCAUGGAUGGGAAAGACUAACAUGAUGGGUGAAAGGAAAGACAUGAUGGAGAGAUCCAGGAGGGGGGCCAUAGAUGGGAUUAAAAGGAUGACUGCCUACACAGUGAAGUUGAAUUUAAAAGAAAUUCACCCACAAAAGGCUGUCAUGCAUUGGUCAGCUCCGGUGGUACAGAGUUUGGUUAACUCUUGAGUCAGUGAGUCUUGGAUAGGUGUAAAAUGUGUGCUGCAAUCGUAGAAAGUAUG
rnacentral:lncRNA from 1 species